CCUCAUCAUCUUCAUGUUGAAUGGGCUGAGGAGGGGAAGAGGAGGGACUGGUCUUGCUGAUUCAGGGGUAGCAGAGGCAGAAGUGAUCAAGGAGGUAGAAGAUGAGACAGAAAAGGAAGGAACACUGAGUGUAAAUUCUAUUGAAAAAAAUCCACAUGUAAGUGACCUUUGCUGUCCAAAUCUGUGCUAUUCAAGGAUAAACUGUAAUUCUAACACAAUAUGACAAAUGUUAUAAAGCUACAAAUGGAGUUCUAUGGCAAAUGAUGGAGACGGAACAAUUCUGUCUUAUAAACUUAUAGAAUAUCUCAUUGAGAGGAUAAUAUUUUUAUGUGGAUCCUGAAAGAUCAAAUCAAAGCGAUGGGCCUUUCAGGUUAUAGAAACACUAUGAAGAAAUGCAUGGAAUAAUAAAGAGCAUGGUGUACUUUCUCCUGGAGAUUUGUGAAGUUCUAGGUAGCUGGAGUGCAGCUCUCAGAAGGAGCAUGGUAACAGAGAAGUCCAAUAAAAUAGACUGGUGGUUGAAAUUGAAUAUGCUAUAAAAAGGAAUUAGAACUUGGUCUUAUGAUUAAUGGGGAGCUAUCUCUUAUGAACUGUAGGGAGAAGAAAUUAGAAAAUGGAAAAUCAUUUGAAGAUAUUGCAAUUAUCCAGGUGAAAAAUAAUGAAGAUCAGAACUAAGACACUGUAAAUAGGAAUUAAGAGGUGGUAGAGUCUUAAUAGUGUUAUGGAUGCAAAAAUAAUAACAUUUAGACUAUUCCUUUUGUUGAACGUCUCCCACUAUUAAAAAAGUAUUACAUAAAUCAAGUCUGAAUGAAUCUUUGGUAUUUGCAGGUCUCAUUUUAGAAUCCAUGUUUCCAACUUCUCAGAACGUCUAGAAGCCUUGUCUAUACACAAAAUGUGCUUAUCGAUAACAUUUUAUCAAUGAAAAAGCUGAGCUUUGAUUCUGGAAUUAUUAAUUUUUUACAUGCCUUUCCCCAAUUUAUCAUUUCUUUUUCUGCUUUACAUGGAAGACAAACAGUUUAAUUCCACAAACAGUUAUUGAGCCCCUAUUAUGUUCUCAUAUAGCAAUAAAUACUAAUGAUAAAGAGGAGUAUAAUCUUUUAUCUCAGUCUUUAUGAAAUUCCUGGCCUAGUAAAGGUAGAGAGAAAGUAGGCCAAGAAGGACAAGAUCACAGCACCAAAUGGCUACAAUGCAGUCUAAAGGAACUGUUAAAAUCAGGUGGUAUGAGGGUUCAAGUGCUAAGAGGGUUCAAAGGAGUGAUGUUAAAGGAUUAGGUGUGGUUGGUAUUAGUCAUGGUUCUGUGCAAACCACAAACAAUGUGGUACAGGUUUUCAUGAUGAAGACAAGGGUGAUGAGAUGAUUGUGAUGAUGACGAUGAUGAUGGAGAAGGAGGACAAGUUCCUUUUAGCAUUUACAGUUUUAUCAGCUACUGCUGACAUUGUCUGUGGGCACAUGGCCAGGCAGGCCAUUCAUCCACAUUGACAUCUGGUUUCCUGCAUUAUGACUCAAACCACUGAUUAUGUAAUAAUAAUGAUAAUAACUGUUAGGCAAAGAGUCAAUUUCCACUGUUUGUUUUGUAUCUUCAGGGGAUUAAAGGCAGUUUUAUAAAACCUCCCUUAAAUUUACAGAAUAAAGCAAAUACACAGGAGGAAAUAUACCACCAAGGAUUAAAGAAGCUCAUGUCAGGACCAGGGAGUUUGCAGUCACAUAGAGUGACUCCCAGGGAAAUCAAAACAACCAGUAACCAUGGUGUGGUCUGCAUUUCCAACCAUUUAUGGAUUACAGUAGAACAAGGAAAACAGGGCCUAUGAAGAACCCCCACAUGGUUGAAUGCUCAUCUGUUGCUGUCUUGAAACUCUAAAAGCUGUAAUCUUUGAAGGUAUGUUUUGAAUGUGCAACCUUGAAGCAUGUGGUUGAACAAAGGAUGUACAUGGAAAAAAGGUAAAUGCUUUCCCCUGUAAUGACACUGUUGUCCAGCUUUUUGAACAAGGCUCUCCCUUUUUCAUCACUGCCCCGAGUAAGAAUGAGGAAUAUAUCAGAGUCCCUACUUCAGCAUGGCCAUUUGUACCCACAUAUGGCCCUGUAACCUUCUGUCCUGGCUUGCAUCCUACUCACACAUCACCUUAAUGACUCAGGUUCUCUUUUUCUCUCCUUCACUAGCAGUUGUUUAAAACUAUUUAUUUAGCACUCGCUCUAUGCCAAACACCAUACCCAGCACUUCACCCACAUCGCUCAUGGAAUCACCAUAGUGGCUCUCUGGGAUCAGUGUUCUCAUUAUUCCCAUUUUAUAGGUGAGGAAAUUGGAAUUUAGGUUAAUAACUUGUCCUGAGUCACAUGGUAAAUGUUCGAAUGAGGAUCUGUUAGGGUUUGAAUCCUGACAGAUUAAAGUCAGAGCCAACGCCCUAGAAACAUGAAUACAGGAAAAACAACAUUUUAAAAAAUGCCCAACUCAAGAAUAUGAUCUGAAUAUUACACCCUAAUUAAUCCACUCCAUGAUUUCAUCAGUGGUCUUUUAACAUUUUAUUGAUUUAUUUUUGCUUUUUUAAAAAAGUGUCUUCAAUAUAGUAGUAUAUUAGAUUGUGAUCUACUAAAAUCCAUCUUAACGAGGCAUCAAUGAGGGAAUGACAGCUGUGAUAAUAGUAAUAAUAAUGACCAUCUACUUUCUCUCAUUUCAUUUUCGUUAUUUAAAAAAGGAGUAGCUGAGUAACCUGUUUUUCUGCUUAAGGUCCUUAGGUCAAAAUUGCACUUUCAUUCACUUUUUAUUAUAUUUAUUUCCUGAUCUCUCUUUCUGUCUCUCUUUCUCAAUCUGAGACUAGGUUUAGAAAAAUGUGUGUGGUACAAGUGGCAAGUUCAAAAUCUGUAGGUUUCAAUUUCUAGAACCUGAUUCCUUAAAAGGACAUGUGGCCUCCAUACCAAACCUGCAAAUAUUUCCAAAAACUCCUCUUUGUAUAAUUCACCAUUUAUGUCCAAGAACAAUCCAAAAGCCUUGCUGCAAGACACUCUCUCCCUUGACUGCCACGUGGGUCACUGCAAAUCCUGAUCUUAGAUGAUAUUUCAGUCUGAAAAGAGGGAGAGUGGUUCAC